rnacentral:lncRNA from 1 species
AUUUAACUACUAGUUACAUUGUGGACGCCAUCUUAAUUGUGUUUUGUAAUUCCAAUCAUGCCCACUAAGUAUUGUACUCCAGGGUGUAGAACGGGCUAUGACAACGAGCCACAACAGUCUGGUGUUACGAUCUAUCUGGCCAAACUAAGAGAGAAACCCCCGACUUGAUUCCGCCUGGCUGAGAGCCAUUCCAUGAGAAACAGAUCUGAAUAAGAUAGAUUAGGCACCAUCCAAAAGUACAAAGCUGUUUUCCCUGCAUUUCAACGACUCUGAUUUUAUCUGUGAGUCUAAAAGAAGUCAGACCCUUGGCAAGGCUCUAAAGAAGAGGUACCUCAAAGCAGAUGUAGUACCAUCCCUAUGGCCAAACUGUCCCAACUACCUCUCAACUUCCAAAGCGUCAUGAAGGCCAACUCAAGCUGCGACCACGUCACGUAGGGCUCAUCAGUUCAAUGAACUACAACAGUAUGCUGUGUUUCACGAAUCAUCAAUUUGAGCACUUAAGAAAACUCCAAA